rnacentral:rRNA from 1 species
GACGAACGCUGGCGGCGUGCCUAAUACAUGCAAGUCGAACGCACAGUUUAUACCGUAGCUUGCUACACCAUAGACUGUGAGUUGCGAACGGGUGAGUAACGCGUAGGUAACCUGCCUGGUAGCGGGGGAUAACUAUUGGAAACGAUAGCUAAUACCGCAUAAUAUUAAUUAUUGCAUGAUAAUUAAUUGAAAGGUGCAAUUGCACCACUACCAGAUGGACCUGCGUUGUAUUAGCUAGGAGGGGAGGUAACGGCUCAACUAGGCGGCGAAACAUCAACGACCCGGGAGGGUGGACGGCCAACAUGGGAACGGGACCCCGCCCCGACUCCCACGGGAAGCAGCAGGAGGGAAUCUUCGGCAAUGGACGAAAGUCUGACCGAGCAACGCCGGGGGAGGGAAGAAAGGUUUCGGAUCGGAAAGCUCUGUUGUGAGAGAAGAACGGGUGUGAGAGUGGAAAGUUCACACUGUGACGGUACCUUAACAGAAAGGGACGGCUAACUACGUG